CCUACGGGUGGCAGCAGUGGGGAAGAGUGCACAAUGGGGGAAACCCUGAUGCAGCGACGCCGCGUGAGUGAAGAAGGAAUUCGUGAUGUAAAGCUCUAUCAGCAGGGAAGAAAAGGACGGUACCUGAGUAAGAAGCCCCGGCUAACUACGUGCCAGCAGCCGCGGUAAUACGUAGGGGGCAAGCGUUAUCCGGAUUUACUGGGGGUAAAGGGAGCGUAGACGGAAGUGCAAGUCUGGAGUGAAAGGCGGGGGCUCAACCCCCGGACUGCUCUGGAAACGGUCCGGCUGGAGUGCAGGAGAGGUCAGUGGACUUCCUAGUGUAGCGGUGACCUGCUUCGAUCUUAGGAGGACCACCAGUGGCGCCGGCGGCUUACUGGACUGUACCUGCCGUUGAGGCUC
rnacentral:rRNA from 1 species